GAUUCCAUUGGCAUUCUUCAUUUGCGUCUUGAAGCCCGGAGAAGAAGAAGAAAGGAUCCAGGGAAGACUCUCCAGCAGAUCUCGGUUACCUUUCCAAGAUGCAUCUGCAGUGUGAUUGUUCAUUGUCGGUAGACGCUACAACAUCUCAACUUUGAAUGGCGAUUAUGCAAUUAUAAAUAAAAUCAGUACCUUGAAGAAAAUCAAAAGCAGGAAAGACGAGUUGAAUCUCCUUUGAAGCAAAUAAUAGAAAAACAUAUAAUACGCAGUUAUAAUGGAGAAUGAAUACAGAAUGGGCUUCGGGCAUGGCACAUGAAUUUUAUACAUGAUGUGCUGUAUAGUGAUUAGUGAUAGUGCAAAAGAAUUAAGUGCGACAAUGGUCUGAUGGUCUUCAAAGCUGCGGAAUGGUCACCCUCGAUGUCUCCUACGAUGACAGCUGCAGGUCCCUUUGGUAAUCACAGUGAGUGAAAAGAUUUAUGGUUCCUCCAGUCACUCAUCAUGCCGCAGGAUGAAUGGUCCGAAACGGCACGAGUGCUGGUUGUAUUAUUAAAACGGGAAA